rnacentral:rRNA from 1 species
UACGUAGGGGGCAAGCGUUGUCCGGAUUCAUUGGGCGUAAAGAGCUCGUAGGCGGUUCGGUAAGUCGGGUGUGAAAUCUCCGUGCUCAACACGGAGCGGCCACCUGAUACUGCCGUGACUCGAGGUCCGGUAGGGGAGUGUGGAAUUCCCGGUGUAGCGGUGAAAUGCGCAGAUAUCAAGUGGAACACCAGUGGCGAAGGCGAGUCUCUGGACAUUUCCUGACGCUGAGGCACGAAAGCCAGGGGAGCAAACGGG